rnacentral:rRNA from 1 species
GACGAACGCUGGCGGCGUGCUUAACACAUGCAAGUCGAACGGAAAGGCCCUGCUUGCAGGGUACUCGAGUGGCGAACGGGUGAGUAACGCGUGGGUGAUCUGCCCUGCACUUCGGGAUAAGCCUGGGAAACUGGGUCUAAUACCGGAUAGGAGCCAUUUUUAGUGUGAUGGUUGGAAAGUUUUUUUCGGUGUAGGAUGAGCUCGCGGCCUAUCAGCUUGUUGGUGGGGUAAUGGCCUACCAAGGCGGCGACGGGUAGCCGGCCUGAGAGGGUGGACGGCCACAUUGGGACUGAGAUACGGCCCAGACUCCUACGGGAGGCAGCAGUGGGGAAUAUUGCACAAUGGGCGCAAGCCUGAUGCAGCGACGCCGCGUGGGGGAUGACGGCCUUCGGGUUGUAAACUCCUUUCGCUAGGGACGAAGCUUUUUGUGACGGUACCUAGAUAAGAAGCACCGGCUAACUACGUG